AUUGAACGCUGGCGGCAGGCCUAACACAUGCAAGUCGAGCGAGCGGCGGACGGGUGAGUAAUGUCUGGGAACCUGCCUGAUGGAGGGGGAUAACUACUGGAAACGGUAGCUAAUACCGCAUACCAUCAGAUGUGCCCCGAUGGGAUUAGCUAGUAGGUGGGGUAACGGCUCACCUAGGCGACGAUCCCUAGCUGGUCUGAGAGGAGGACCAGCCAAACUGGAACGGAGACACGGUCCAGACUCCUACGGGAGGCAGCAGUGGGGAAUAUUGCAAAAUGGGCGCAAGCCUGAUGCAGCAAGGCCGCGGGGGGGAAGAAGGCCUUCGGGUUGUAAAGCACUUUCAGCGGGGAGGCGUUACCCGAAGAAGAAGCACCGGCUAACUCCGUGCCAGCAGCCGCGGUAAUAC
rnacentral:rRNA from 1 species